AGCGCGACCGGGUCGACUCCCCGUGUGACGAUGAGAUAGUCGCGCAUCACGAUGCCGUGGCGGUGUUC
rnacentral:sRNA from 1 species